CCUACGGGAGGCAGCAGUGGGGGAUCUUGGACAAUGGGGGGAACCCUGAUCCAGCGACGCCGCGUGAGUGAAGAAGUAUUUCGGUAUGUAAAGCUCUAUUAGCAGGGAAGAAAAUGACGGUAACUGAUUAAGAAGCCCCGGCUAACUACGUGCCAGCAGCCGGGGUAAUACGUAGGGGGAACGCGUUAUCGGGAUUUACUGGGUGAAAAGGGAGCGUAGAGGGCUGCACAGUUCGGAGGGAAAUGCCGGGGCUUAACCCGGGAAGUGCUUUGGAAACUGUGCAGCUAGAGUGCAGGAGAGGUAAGUGGAAUUCCUAGUGUAGCGGUGAAAUGCGUAGAUAUAAGGAGGAACACCAGUGGCGAAGGCGGCUUACUGGACUGUAACUGACGUUGAGGCUCGAAAGCGUGGGGAGCAAACAGGAUUAGAUACCCGGGUAGUC
rnacentral:rRNA from 1 species